AGAUAAAAGGAAGUGUUAAUUCCCAGAAGGACACAUGAAGUUUGAAAAAAGCUUAACAUUUUUUAUUUGACUAAAAAAUAUUCAGUACUUUGCACUUUCAAAUAACACUAAAGGAGAGCAUACUUUUUUUAAGUUUUGAAAACUUUAAAGUUUCACUUUAUCUGAUAAGAUUAACAAACACUGAAAAAUGCCAGCCUACAGAAUACAUUUCUACUUGGAAAGAAUCACCAAUUAUAGAGAUUCUGAAUGAAUACUUAGCGUGUUUCCAAAUAUGAUUCAAAAUGACCUAAAUUCCUUAUGGUAAAAGAAAUUGUCAUACUAAGAUAAUAUCUUAUAAUACUCCAUAUAUUGAUAAUAUUAAAAAAACUGAAACAGAAUUUCAUGGGGAAAAAAGAUAAAGGGAUUGCUUUAGAUGAAAGGAGACUUAAAGAGACAGUAAUCAAAUGCAAAGCAUGAACGCUGACUAGCUCCUUCAGUUGGGAGUUAUAAGAGACUGAAAAAUUGGGGGAAAAUCUGAACAUGGGUCUGAUAUUAGAUGUUAUUAUGGAAAUAUUAAUUUUAUUAGGUUGAAAGUGGUACUGUACUAUGUAGGUACAUCCUUGUUCUUAGAAAAUGCAUGUUAAAAUAUUUAGGGAUGAAGUGCCAGGAUGUCUGCAACUCAAUUUUAAAUGGUUCACAAUGAAAAGAGAGGAAAGAUGAAACAAAUGUAGCAAAAUGUUAACAAUUAGUGAAUUUAAUGAAUGGUAUAUGGUAUGAAGUUUAUUACUUUUUCAACUUUCCUAUGGGUUUUUAAUUUUUCAAAAUAAUUGUUGGGAAAAAAUGAAAGAAAACAUUUUUCUAAUAAAAAUUGACAGUGAAUUUGAAGAGUUUCAGUAGAGAAUAGUUAUAAUUCCUAAUAGUGUGUUCAGUGACUAUUAGUCAACAAUUGUUCUUUUUAAAUGAAAACAGGCUCUUUUCAUCCUAAAUGAAUAAUCCUAACCAAAAAAAUGAAAUUCUUCUAUUUUACAGGUGGUAAAAAUAGGAAUUUUUCAAUUACACAAUGAGUGAAAAAGAAUGUAACCACUUUAUCAGAUGAUCAUGAUAUUCUGAUUCACCUUAAGUACUCACUAAGCCUUGCUUCUUUUCACUUGAGCCUACUUUAUAUUAUUUGUAACGUAAUAUGCAAUUAAUUAAUAUCCAAGUAUUAUCAUUAUUGCUCUUUCUCUACCAGCUGACUUUAAAAAUAUUACUUAGGGAGAAAGAAGACAGGCUGAGUAUAUUUAGAUUAUUUGCAAAUUUCAUACAUCUAUUACAUUUUAAGAACUGCUAACAAAGUUUGCCAUUUUAACUAUUUUUAACUGUAGAAUUUAGUGGCAUUAAUUACAUUCACAAUGUUGUGAACCAUCACCACUAUUUCCGUAUUUUCAUCGCCCAAACAGAAACACUGUAACCAUUAAGUCCUCAUUCUCUCCCCCCAUCACACUAAUAUACUUUCCAUUUAUGAUAUCUAUUCUAGAUAUUUAUCUAUGAUAAGUAGAGUCAAACAGUAUUUGUCCUUUUGGGUAUGGCUUAUUUCACCUAGCAUGUUUUCAAGGUUCAUCCAUGUUAUGACAUGUAUCAAAAGUUCAUUCCUUUUUAUGGCUGAAUAAUAUUCCAUUUUCUUCAUCCAUUUAAUCUUUUGAUGAACACUUAGCUUGUGUCUACCUUUUUGGUUAUUAUGAAUAAUGCUGUUAAGAAUGCUGGAAUACAAGUAUCUGUUUGAGUUCUUGUUUCCUUUAGGUAUAUACCUAGGAGUGGAAUUGCUGGAUCAAAUGGUAAUUCUAUGUUUAGUUUUUGGAAGAACCACUCAACUAUUUUCCACAGCAGCUGCACCAUUUUACACUCCUACCUACAACAUACAAGUGUUCCAAUUUCUCUAUGUCCUCAUCAAAACUCAACAUCUUCUUUUAUAAAUUUUUAUUAUUACAACCAUCCUAGUAGAUGUGAAGUGCCCCCUCAUUGUGUUUUGAUUUGCAUUUCCUUAAUGACUAAUAAUGCUGAGCAUCUUUGCAUGUGCUUGUUGGCCACUUGUAUAUCUUUACUGGAGAAAUGUUAUUUAAGUCCUUUACCCAAUUUAGUUGGGUUGUCUUUUCAUUGUUGAGUUGGAGUUCUUUUUAUAUUCUGGAUAGUAAACACUUAUCAGAUUUAUGAUUUGCAAAUAUUUUCUUGCAUUCUCUAGCUUGUCUUUUCUCUUUCUUGAUAAUGUCCUUUGAUUUACAAAUGCUUUUAAUUUUGAUGAAGUCCCAUUUAUCUAUUUUUUCUUUUGUUACUCUUGUUUUUGGUGUCAUAUCUAAAACUCCAAGGCCAAAGCUAAGGUCAUAAAGAUUACCCAUGUAUUUUGUCCUAAGAGUUUUAUGGUUUUGGCUUUUAUAUUUAGGUUAUUGAUACACUGAGUUAAUUUCUGAUGCGGUAUGAGAUCAGGGUCUAAUUUUAUACUUUUUGCAUAUGAAUUUCCAGUUGUCCCAGCAUCAUCUGUUGAAGGGACUAUGGUUUCUUCAUUGGAUGCAUUUGGCAUCCUUGUCAAAAAGCAGCUGGCAUGGAUAUAUGGGGUUACUUCAGGACUCUCAAUUCUAUUCCACUGGUCUAUGUCUAUCCUUAUACCAGUACCACAUUGUUGGGAUUAUUGUAGCUUUGUACUAAGAAAUUUGGAAAUGUGAAUCCCACAGCUUUAUUCUUUUUCAAGAAUGUUUUGGCUAUUCAAGGCCCUUUGCAGUGAAUUUGGGGAUUGCCUUUCCCAUUUCUGCAAAAAUGUCUGUUGUUAGGGAAUUGUGUUGAAUUGGUAGAUCACUUUGCUUGUAUUGAUGUCUUAACAAUAUUAAGUCUUAUCCUUGAACAUGGGAUGUCUUUCUAGUUACUUAUGUCUUUUUUAAUAUUUUUCAGCAAUGUUUUUGUAGUUUUCAGUGUACAAGUUUUGCAGCUCUCUUGUUAAAUUUAUUCCUAAGUAUUUUAUUCUUUUAGAAGUUACUUUAAUGGAGUUUUUAGUUUCCUUUUUUUUUUUUUUUGUGGAGUGUCUGUGGCUGGUUAUAGAAACAACUGAUUUUCGUGUGUUGAGCUUGUACCCUACAACUUUGCUGAAUCCAUUUAUUAGCCCUAGUAGCUUUUGUAUAGAUUCUUUGGAAUUUCCUAUAUACAGGAUAAUGUCAUUUGUGAUCAACAGAGACAGUUUUACUUUUUCCUUUACAAUCUGGAUGCCUUUCUUUUUUUUCUUUUCUUUCUUUCCUUUUUUUGGGUGGGGGGGUGGGGGGUGUGGCUCAUUGCUUUGGUUAGAACUUCUAGUUCUAUGUUAAACAGCAGUGGUGAAAGCAGGUAUCCUUGUCUUGUUCCUGAUCUUAGGAGGAGUUUUCAGUCUUUCACCACUGAGUAUGUUAACUGUGGGUUUUUCAUAAAUGCCAUUUAUUAUACUGAGGAAGUUCCCAUCUAUCCUAGUUUUCUGAGAGUUUUACCAUGAAAGGCUACUGGAUUUUGUCAAAUGCCUUUUCUACCUUUAGUUUGAUAACAGAAGAGGGACAAUAUGAAUAGUCAGGCAUAAAAUAUUUACCAAGUUUGGACAAGGUCACUGAAAUUUUCAUGUGCUGAAAUUUGUUUAACCUUGCCUAUUUAAUAUUUUCUUGAAUAAAGAAUCAGGAAAUUGUGUAUUUUUUCUUCACCAAAUUUAUGAGACCCUAGAACUCUUUUCCCCCCAGUUUUCACAGCUACCACUGUAUUUAGAUUAUCACCUAGUUUAACUUGUAACAUCUCCCUUAGGUUUCUUCCUUGUCCAGUCGUCCCUCAGAUGACAUUAUUUCACUUCUCCUCUAAAAUUUAGAGUAAUUCAAAUCCAAACAUACUUGUUUGGGACAAACCCUUUUUUAAUCAAAUGUAAAUUCCGUUCUCAUUUUUUACUAUCUAUAUAGUUCUCUGUUGAGUCAAAAACAGCUAUUUACCAACUGUUGAGAAUAACUUUUAAAUGUCCCCUUUGUAAAUAUAACCUUCUCUAUCCAGAAUGUUUUUUCUGUUCUCCCCCUACACCAAUGCAUUUCUUUGCUCCUUUGAAACUUACACAACUGAUUAGCCCUUUAUUAAGUUUAUCUGACACUGUACUCCCUUUCUAACUACUCUAAAUUUUUUUUCUACUCUAAAAUGUUUCUCCCAUCUAGUUGGUAAUUCUCUUUAGGAUGGAUUCUCUAUUUCUUUUGUAUUCUAAUACAAUGGAGGUGGGGAAAUGGAAAAA